UUGGAAUUUGGAGAAGUGACGCAACUGGUUGUAAUGAAGAUAUUUUUAAUCCUUAAUUUGAUUUUAUGAUUAAUUGAAGCUGACAUAUGUAGACUGGAAAUUACAUGGGAAAUUUCAAGGUUAUGGAACAUCAAGGAAUGCAGUCGAUCAAGCUAACCUUAAAGCGUUACUUUCGCCGAUAAGAACUUGAAGCAGGAAAUCUUAUUAUAAAUAUCUAUCAAGAAUGAAAAGGGAAGACGGCUUCACGGUUUCCAGCCAGGGCAGAGGCAACACGAAUUAUAUUGAGAGCAGUCAAGUUGAAGAUGAAAUCAAUUUUUUCCCGGAUUCCAUGAAAAAGGAAGAAAUCAACGAAAAAUGAAAAAAGAAUGAAAUUAGAUCAAAAACUAACCCUGCCCCAUUUUUCACACACAGAAUUUUUUACACACGUCCGACUCGAUUGAUGAAAAACUCAAAACAACUUUUCAGUAUGUGUGGAAAGCCAAAGAUCCGAAAAUUCGCUUGUUCAACUCAAGACGGGGAAG